UCGACAUCGAGAACCACCAUGUCAGGGAUGCCCUCACUUGCUUCGGUAUCGAAAGGUGGGCGCAUACCACCGCCAUAACCUUCGUGAAGACCCUCGGCGCCGUGGCCAAUCCGAACGGAAGAACGGUGAACUGGUACUGGGACGCUCCGAUCGAAAACCGAAGAAGCUGCAGAAUUGAAGUAACCGUUGUCAUACGGAACUUCCUCGGGGUGAUGAACUUGUUCAGUUGUCUUAAGUCCAUGAUCGGUC